GGGCAGGAUCUUCUGGAACUGGUCGCAGUUGGUCCUCGGUGACCGGUAUUUGGGUUCGUCGUCACAGCCUCCACGCGGGAGUCGCCCACCCCCACCUCCGAGCUGGACGCUGGUCCGCGCUGAUCGACUUAGAAAUCCAGGGGACCUCACAGGGUUAGGAGGAUUGGGGUGUUCGCCAUCUGGAGUUUCUCUGCCUCAUGGAGCCCAGCUCAGAGCUGCCAGUUUGCAGGAGAUGAUUGAUUACAUCUUAUUCACAGCCCACCGAAAAAUGAAACAAGUAGAAGUACUUUUAAUGGAACAGAAUAAAGCACUGAGCAGGACAAGUCCAGCCUGCGCUUUGAGGAUCCUCGGGCGACUGCUCAACUGUGAGUACAGAUGACAGCAAUUUCCGACGUUCAAUAGUGCUUGCUUCUAAAUUCCUAAAUAGCAUUUCAAAUAAGGAAAAGCUUUAAGGAGGAUUUUUUUAAAUUAUUAUUCACCUGUAGAAAAUACUUGGGGUAUGAUAAUAAAUGUAUAAAGUAAAUAACCCAUAGACAGUCAUGAAAGUUUUGAUUUUUUUUUUUU
rnacentral:lncRNA from 1 species